rnacentral:rRNA from 1 species
UACGUAGGGUGCAAGCGUUGUCCGGAAUUAUUGGGCGUAAAGAGCUCGUAGGCGGUGUGUCGCGUCGGCCGUGAAAACCUGCAGCUUAACUGUGGCUUGCGGUCGAUACGGGCAUCACUGGAGUUCGGCAGGGGAGACUGGAAUUCCGUGGUGUAGCGGUGAAAUGCGCAGAUAUCAGGAGGAACACCGGUGGCGAAGGCGGGUCUCUGGGCCGAUACUGACGCUGAGGAGCGAAAGCGUGGGGAGCGAACAGG